AGUUUGAUCCUGGCUCAGGACGAACGCUGGCGGCGUGCCUAACACAUGCAAGUCAACUUGACGGAAGGAGCAAUCUGACCGUAGAGUGGCGCAAGGGUGCGUAACGCGUAAGUAACUUGCCCCAAGGUAAGGAAUAACGUCGAGAAAUCGGCGCUAAUACCUCAUAAUGCAGCGGAUCCGCAUGGAUAUGUUGUUAAAGGUUUACCGCCUUGGGAUAGGCUUGCGUCUGAUUAGCUAGUUGGUGUGGUAACGGCACACCAAGGCUACGAUCAGUAACUGGUCUGAGAGGAUGAUCAGUCACACUGGAACUGAGACACGGUCCAGACUCCUACGGGAGGCAGCAGUGAGGAAUAUUGGGCAAUGCUCGAAAGAGUGACCCAGCAACGCCGCGUGGAGGAUGAAGGUAUUCUAUAUCGUAAACUCCUGUGAGAGCAGACGAAAGACAGAUUAUUAAUCUGGAUGACUGUAUGCUCAGAGGAAGCCCCGGCUAACUACGUGCCAGCAGCCGCGGUAAUACGUAGGGGGCAAGCGUUGUCCGGAUUCACUGGGUGUAAAGGGCGCGUAGGCGGGAUAGCAAAUCAGUGGUGAAAUCUUGCAGCUCAACUGCAAAACUGCCAUUGAUACUGCUGUUCUUGAAUGUGGAAGAGAGAGGCGGAAUUCCAGGUGUAGUAGUGAAAUACGUAGAUAUCUGGAAGAACACCAAUUGCGAAGGCUGCUUCUUGGUCCAUUAUUGACGCUGAGGCGCGAAAGCGUGGGGAGCAAACAGGAUUAGAUACCCUGGUAGUCCACGCUGUAAACGAUGAGUGCUAGAUGCCGGAUUUUUUCGGUGUCGCAGCUAACGCAUUAAGCACUCCACCUGGGAAGUACGAUCGCAAGGUUGAAACUCAAAGGAAUUGACGGGGGCCCGCACAAGCAGUGGAGCAUGUGGUUUAAUUCGAUGCAACGCGAAGAACCUUACCUAGGCUUGAAAAGCUUAUGACCGGCUGUGAAAGCAGCUUUCCCGCAGGGCAUAAGUACAGGUGCUGCAUGAUGUCGUCAGCUCGUGCCGUGGAGGUGAUGGGAUAGUCCCGCACGAGCGCACCCUUACCAUUAGUGCACGAGCAUCGAGCACUCUAUGGCACUGCUACGCAGGUAGUGAGAGGUGAGGAUGACAUCAGUCGCAUGCAUACGCCUAGGCUACCCACGGUGCCUACAAUGGGGCGUCUAAAACGGGGGCA
rnacentral:rRNA from 1 species